rnacentral:misc_RNA from 1 species
GUAGGUGAACCUGCGGAAGGAUCAUUAACAGUAACAUGGUUAUGCUUCUAGCAUAGACUGAAUGAAACCCACUCUGAGUACCUUUGCCUGUUGCUUCCGUAGGGCAUGGCAUCUGUCACUCUUGAGCUUAAAAACCUCAAGGGAGUCCUUACGGGAGGUAUACUAUUGAAACUCUUGCACUUCAAUGUCUUCUGUCUGAACUUGUUUACAGCAAACAUUAAAACUUUCAACAACGGAUCUCUUGGUUCUC